AUUUUGGGAGUUUGGGGGGUUUUGGGGACUUGGGAAUUUGGGGUUUGGGAUUUUGGGGAUUUGGGGUUCGGGUUCCCGGGAUCCCGGCCCUGCUCAGCCUCUCCCGGAUCCGCAGCAGCUCCGGAACCGCCUCGAAACGGAGCCGGGACCCGCCCGGCUCCCGCUGGGAAUUCCGGACCCCCCCCGCCCAAACGGCUCCGAGCAGCUCCAGAAAAUACCCAAAAAAAUUCCCAAAAUUCCCAGGAAAUCGUGGAGAAAGCGGCGCCGGCCCGGAGGCUGCAGAUCCCCGCCGGAAAUCCGGGAAUUCCGACAGGAAAUUCAGGAAUUCUGGCGGAAAAUUCAGGAAUUCCAGAAAGAAAUUCGGGAAUUCCAGUUGGAAAUUCAGGAAUUCCAACGGGAAAUUCGGGACUCCUGGCUGGAAAUGCAGGAAUGGCAUCAGGAAAUCCGGGAAUUCUGUCAGGAAAUCCGGGAAUUCCGGGAAUCCCGGUGCGUUCCCAACUUUCCGUGGCUCAGUUUUACGGGAGCCGGAAUUACCGGGACCCCCUGGAGCGGAAACGGCUCCGGGAGCUGCUGGGGCACGGAGAGAUCCCGGAAAAAACCCGGAAUUCCGGGAAUUCCGACAGGAAAUUCCGGAAUCCCGGCGGGAAAUCCGGGGAUUCCGCCAGGAAAUCCGGGAAUUCCGCCAGGAAAUCUGGGAAUUCUGCCAGGAAGGGCAGCUCCAAAGGCAAAGGGAGCAGCGGGAAUUCCCGGAAUUCCAGGCUGGGGAAUUCCAGGAUUGAGAAUUCCCAGAUUUCCAAUGUUGAGAACUCCCGGAAUUCCAGGAUGGGGAAUUCCCGGAUUUCCGGGAUUGGGAAUUCCUGCAGAAUUCCAGGAUGAAGAAUUCCCUUAUUUGCUUUGAUAGACUUUCCUGCCCCUGGCACAGAGGGAGGGGCUAUAAACCAAAUUGUCAUUACAAAUCUGUCUGAAAAGGACCUAAAAUUAGAUGCCAUGAAAAUGGCUCUGGGAAUCCCCAAAGUCCCAGCUACGAUAUAUUUCAUCUCAUGCAAGAAGACAGAUGAGUAAUUCCCAGGAGCUUCAUGCAAAAUUGGCCCUAAAGCAGAUCCCAGUAGGCAUCAAGGCUGGAUUCUGUAUGCUGCAAGGCUGUCAUAGCAGGAUAUGCUGCAAAAGAGUUUGUUGCAUCUUCUUCCUGAAAAGUUGGUGGAGUUUCUCUCUAUGCAGAGGGUACAACAUUUAUGGUCAGGACAGGGUUUUCUUGCUUUGUGGUUUUCUUGCUGCUGCUGCUGCUUUUAAAGGGGUCAACACUCUUAGCUCCAGGAAACUGAAACUAAAUGUGAGCAGGGACUGGAGGAAGGAAGCAGGGAGGAUCCACUACAAGAUUCCAAAAACUAAAUAAAGCAGGAUUCAACUGCCAGUGGCUGAAUAGCAGCAAUUUAUGAGCUGUUCCUCAAAAGCCCCAGACAAGCACCAAGUCCUGUGGGAAGCUGGAGAUUGACAGAAGACACCUCCAGAAGAGUCUGCUGUUGAAAUUUCCUUUAAGCCUUUUUUUUUUUUUUUUUUUUUUUCAAGUGGAUCAUCCAGACCUGGCAAAUGCAUAAGGUCAGCCCUUGGAAGAGCAAAAAGCUCUCGCCAAGAAAACCAAACGAGUGGCUGAAAUCUGUCCAUUUGUCUGCCUGUCUUUUUGGCCUUGGAUUACUGUGCUUUUCAAAGCUAUUCUUUCAUAACUUGGAUAAAAAGGUAAAUGUUUCAUAUAGCCCCGCAAGUAGUAAUCAUCCUGUCCAUGCAAAAAAAACCUGCUGCCUGAGGGAUGGGCCCCAAACCAGAGGUGUUUCUCAUUUACCUACAAAGCGUCUGGCUUUAGCAUGUGUAGUCAGUUUUUGUGAACAUGUGAGUCCAUUGCCUGCUCUAACAGAGUUAGUGACUUACUUUCAGUGGUUGUAGAGAGUUUCACUGAAACAGCACUGUUUGUAGUCCACUGUGUGACUUAGGAGACACAAUAGCCAGACAAUUCUGCAAGUGUAAUAUAACUGUAUGUGGCGUUCCCAGAAAAUGCUCUGAAGUCUUCUCUCCGUUGCACCAUGGUGAUAAAAACCACUGCUGCUUUUCAAGCUCCACGAGGCCAUGCUGUGCUGUGCUGAAAGGGAUAGAAAAGCCAAUUAGCUCUGAAAAGUGAAGGGCAGGCAGAGAGGGGUGCUCUGGCCUGGAAUUCCCUCCCUUUGGCAGCAGCAAAGGUCAGCUGUGCAGCCAAAUUUCAGUGACCACAUGUGGAUCCAGCUUGUGCGUGUUGCCAGCUAUCUGCACAGGGAGUGGGAGAGGGUGGGGAGGAAGAAUUGAUUCUGGAAGGGGAAAGCCUGAGUUAAAGGGAAAAGUGGAGUGAAAUGUGACAGCUGGGAUUUCCAGAAGAUAGUUUGAUGGAUGCUGGCCAUCCAGCUUCCCUAGAACUCUUUAUCAGUAACACCCUCUAUAUCUCCCUGAGUGACUUUUAGCCUGUCUGGCAGUUUUCAGCAUCAGUGUGUGAGCGAAAAGAGGUGGAAGGCAGUUCUCUCUGAUUUGGCAGCUCUGGGACUUUGUGCUGCUGGCUGAGGGUCUGGAUUUCUCAGGAACUUCCUGGCUACCUGUGGCUCCCACAGGCUUGUAGGACUGGGCUUAGAGAAACCCUGAGCUGCCCGAUGUCUGCUCUUGCUGCAGCUCUUCUGAAUAGUCCUGGGUGUGGAUGUGAGCCUGCAGUCCUUGGGAGGCAGAAUUCACUCCACAAUCCCAAGGGACUUGCUCUAUCUGUCAGUGCAGGCCAGCUGUGGGAAUCCUCCAAGUCCCUUUAUCCUGUUCUGUGUGUCAAGGCCCUGUGGCUGACCACGAGUGCCCCGAGCUGCCAUGGACCCUUCUUGCAAGGGCAAUUGUUUUCAGAGUCAGCGUAGGUGCUGGCUACCUUUGGAAAAGUGUGAAUACCCCGGGGAAAUCCAUGGGGCAGACACCUUGGGCCAUACUGUGUGCUGGCACCAUCAGCAGGCAUGAUACAGACAGAGGUGCUUUGCUUUUGGUGUGAAACCUUGCUCUGAUGCGUCAUUCCAAGGAAAACAGCCGGAAUUGGCAGGCCAGGUCAUGUGGUGAGAUGAGUAAUUCCAGCUCCCUUACUGGACCUGAUUUAUACAGCUCAGGUCCAAUAGUUCUGAGAAAUUGUUGAUGGUGGGAGCCUUUCUGUUUGUUUGUUUCUCUGGAAACUUGAAGCCUUUCAAAUAAAGAACAAAUGAGGUGUAGGGAAUUUUUAGCUGGGGUAUGUGCUUCAGGAUGUUUGCUGCAUUCAGGCUUCAAGAACACAAAUUCUCUGCAGACAAUCCCACACACAGUGGGGGAAAAAAGGAUAUUGGGCUUGGAAGUGCACCAGGGAGAUGGGACUCAAGUGAGCUUUGAACAGCAAUCAUUGUCAUUAGUGGUGGUGCUGUAAUAUGUGCUUGACUCAAAUCCAGCAUUGCACAGGCAAGAACCUGGUGAAAGCUUUGUAACUUGAUAUUUGUGGUUGUGAUCCGCUGUUGAAUAGGCUAGACAUGAAUAAAAUCAGUAUUUUUUAAAGUGUUGUGUGGGGUUUUUUAUGUCAAAAAAGGCUGGUUGCCCUCUUGGACUUUAUUGUGUUCAUGUGAAAUGUUUGAUGUGGACUUAAUACGGGUCUGCAGAUUUUUUAGGACAGUCCACGUCCCCUUGCAGAAUUUCACCUUCCUCAGAGGUGGGUGCUGCAGUGCUGCACUGAAUUUCUGCCACAGGGAAAGAUGUGAAGGUAAUUUGUCAUGUUACCCUGCUGGUCCUGCAGGGGUGGUCCCUCUGUGCUGUGACAGCUCCACAGCCUGCCAUCAGGUUGGCGUGAUCUCCUGGCUGGACAUCGGUGCCGGUGAGGGAUGUGUCUGACUCCAUUCCGGCCCUUGCUCGAGGAAAGGUGUGGGUGAAGGUGCUUUUGCAUCUCCCACAUUCUGUGUCUGGUUGGACACCAAGACUAAAGACUGCCAAUUUGGGCACUGCCCAGAGUGUUACCACCUUCCAUGAGACCUGUCCUGCUCCAUCAUGGGCACUGCAUGUGGGAAUGCUCAAUGGCAAUCUCCAAAUUACUCCUCACUCAGCUUUUUCUUGCUUCUGGACUCGGGAGCCACAAAGGUAAGUCCAUGCAUGUGGCAUUGAUCCAUGCGUCUGCCUCACUCACAGUCACGCUGGCAGAGGGCAAGGAGACAACAGUCAAGGAAAAAGCCUUGUUUUCCCAGUGGAUGCAGGAGUCUGUGUCUUGCUGAAGGGCAGUGGUCCCCACACAGAUUGUUUUUCUUUUUUCCUCUCCCCCACCACUGUGGCAGCAUUGUUACUGGUGAGUUCGUGUGCUUGUCUGCUCCCUGUACCUCACCCAGAGCCCUCACUGCCUCUGGUCCUUGAGCCCUGGACACGUUUGCACAUUUGAGUUAAUCCACAUACUUUGUUUGUUUUACAAAGUCUUUUUUUUCUCUCAGCUGCCACAUUUCAAAGCACACUUGCUUACUUUACUUCAUCUCUUUCCCUUCUUCAUCCAGCCCAGAUGAUUCUUCACUCCCCUCUGGAGGGAAGUUGCUGUCCCAAAGCUAUUGUAAAUGCAGGUGAACCCGGUGGGAAGAAAUGGUGAUGUCUGACUCCAGUUCAGAAGGCUGAAUGAUUUCUUUAUUAUAACUAUACUAUAAUGCAUUCAUAUACUAUUUCAAGGAGAUACUAAAACUACAAACCUACCAAAUCUCACUGACUCACAACUCGUGACCCUCUGAGAGCCCAGCCCCAGGAGGGUUGGAUUGGCCAUCAGACUCAAGCAAUCCUCACCAGAAUCCAACCAAGCACUCACCCCAGGUAAGUAAUUCUCCAAACACAUUCCACAUAGGGAAAAGAAGGAGCAGAAAUAGAAAUUGUUUUCUUUUUCUUUCUUCUGUGUUCUUCUUUGUUCUGUGUUCUUCUAUGAAAAAAUCCUGAGACAGCAGUGAAUGUGCCUACCACACAAACCCCACCGCACUAAAGUGAGUGGCACAAAUGCCACCGAGGGAGCUGUGUUUUGGAUCCCAUCAGUACAGACCCCCCCACUUGCCAGCCUGCACCAGCAGUGCUCCAAACCUGCAGCAAUGUGUGUAGAAUUGAGAUUGCUCACAACUACAGGUAGAUGUCUAAUGUCCAGGCAAUAUCACAUAAAUCAUCUCUUCACCCCAAAAAAUUAAUCAGAUUUGGGUUACGAUGAUGCAAACCCCUUUAUCUCCCUAUCACCACCACCUCUCCCCCUUUAGUAUUUAUUAAAGAAAAGUCAAAAUGCUUCUAAUAAUUUUUUUUUUUUUUUUUUCCCCCUAUGAAAAUGUCUUUUUUAUCUAGCAGGUAGCAAAGAUCUGAAGGGAGGAGUGGUCAUCUCAGGCUGCUGGGGGUGGUCACUCAUCAGAACUGUAAAUGGGUGAUGGGGAUGGAGACAAAGGCAAUUCUGGUCAGGCUGCAAGCACAGCCCUGACUUCCACUCUUGUAAAUAGUCAUUUCACGGCUUCCUUCUGAAAUUUGGGAUUUAGGGAGUUCCAGCAAGAGGUGAGGCCGCUCCAGGGCUGUGUCUGUGAGCCCCAGGAAUCUGUUCUACAUUUUUUCAGUCCCUUGCGUGGUGUUAAAUUUUGUGACACCUUCUUCAGUCUGACUUACUGCAGAUAAGACAGAGAGGAUUUUUUUAAACCAAUGAGGAUUAGGGUAAGUUUGGAAUAAGGUUUUUAGAGGGUGGAUUAUGAAGGCACGAGCUGUGCAAGGCUGACCAUUUGAGCUUCAUCUGCCAUAAGGGCCCACAGAGUAUUAAACUUCAUUCAAGGCAAUUCAGGUAUAAAGGAAAUGUCAGGAAGAAGGAGGAGCAGGGAGGAGUAUAAAUGUAUUCAUUCUGAGUACAGCAUUUGUAUUUGCUGUUGUAAUUGGUCUGUUAAAAUGAUUUCCUAGAAGUGAAUUAGCGAUCCCAGUAGAGAAUACAAUUUGGAGAGCCAUUAAAUUAGAAGAAACUAAAUCGAAGGCAGAGUAGCAUCUCUUCUAUGCUGUGGCAGAAACUGUGUUGCAGACAGAUUGACUGCUGACAGAUCGUCAGAACUGAGUGGUAUUCACUCAUGACUUCCAAGGGGAAUUGUGGAAUUACCUACAGCACUUCAUUCACUUAAUGAAUUGUUGCCUCCAUUGUUGCCUGAAGCCUGCAGAGUAACAAAGGCGCUGGCUUUCUUUGAAACGGUUUCCAUAGGUGUCUCUAAGGUACCGCAGCCUGGUAAAUGUAACUUCUGCAGGAGGAGAAUUACUUGUAUAACAAGGAAUUGAAUCAGUGAAUGCCUGAUAAAUACAAAAAAUGUCCUUCAUAAAAGUCACCAUCAUUUCUGUUAUGGGAGGUUUUGCUUCGGGACACUGAUUUCUUUGGAGAGAUAAACAAGCACGGUGGUAAUGGUGAGACUUCUUGGUUAGGUCAGAAGGUUUUAGAGGGAAAUGUCCACUCACGUGAUCAAAAGAGAAGAUCCUGGCAUGGUUAAAAAUGGGAAACAGUGAGCUUGUAGGUUUAGGUGAUCUGCUUGUGGUCAUUCUUCAGACUUUUAAUAUUCAUGCAGAAGUUUGGCAGAAACAGGAAACUUAUGUGUAGACCAAAAUCAGUUCAGCUUCUACAGUAAAUGGUAUUAACUGGUGUUAUGUAGCUUUGACCCUUUGGAGAGAUCUAAAUCUGGCCUUUCCCAAGUUCUGAUGGAGUAAAAUAACUGUUUCCCAGUCUUUUAUUUGCAGAUACUCUAAAUAUUGUUGCUGGGGAUCUAUAUAAAAAAUUCAAAGGUAAGUAAAAAUAAGUAUUAGCAGUAUGUGUGAAAUAUAAUAUAAAUAAUAAUUUGUCUAUCUUGCUACCUUUAUAUAUAUAUAUAUAUAUAUAUAUGAUAUAUAUUUCUAAAUACGUCACUAUAAAGUAGAAAUGCAAAUGUGACUAUAAUGAUGAAAACAAUAUAUAAAUAUUCAAGUAUCGUUUAAAGAAGGGGCUUUUUUUUGCUUUUUAUUUGGUUAGAGGCAGGGUUUUAAUGGAAGAAAAAUGAAUAUACCUUUUAUUUUGAUAUCAUUCUAAAUAUAGAAAUAUAUAUUCAAUGUAUGCAGAGAUUUUUCUAUUCUAUCUCUUCUGAAUAUUUAUUUUCAUUUCUAUUUUAUACUUUCAUAUAACACCAUACAUCAAUCUACAUUUUAAACGUAAAUUUGAAUAUAAAUGCGAAAUAUAGAGACAAAUUUAAACGUAGUUUAAAAGAAAAGGGGUUUUUAAAAGAUUUUUACUUGGAUAGAGGCAGGGGUUUAUUUUAAGCAAUAUAAACCUUUUAGAAAUAGAAAUCUAUCUAUAGAAAUAUGUAAGCAAUGUAUUAAGCAAUGCAUAAAAAUAUAAAUUGUAAUAAAGGAAUAAAUGUAAGAAAUUAUAAAAAUACAAUUACACAUCAAUAUACGUUAUAAAUCCGAAUG